UACGGGGGGGGCAAGCGUUGUUCGGAAUUACUGGGCGUAAAGGGCUCGUAGGUGGCCAACUAAGUCGGACGUGAAAUCCCUCGGCUUAACCGGGGAACUGCGUCUGAUACUGGAUGGCUUGAGUUCGGGAGAGGGAUGCGGAAUUCCAGGUGUAGCGGUGAAAUGCGUAGAUAUCUGGAGGAAUACCGGUGGCGAAGGCGGCAUCCUGGACCGAGAUUGACACUGAUGAGCGAAAGCUAGGGGAGCAAACGGG
rnacentral:rRNA from 1 species